UUAAGUUCAGCGGGUCUUCCUACCUGAUUUGAGGUCAGAGCAAAAAAGGUGUCAGAAGACGGGUUAUGAGCGGUCCUUCCGUCUUGGCCAGCGAAACUUAUUACGCCAGAUUCGACUUGGAAUCACUAACACUUUUGAGGCGAGCCGCAGACGGCAACACCCAGGUCCAUCGUCAUCGGAAACCCGAUGGGAUGAUGUUU
rnacentral:misc_RNA from 1 species